GGAACCUUUAAAUCCAGUCCAGAGAGGCUGGCAAGGGCACGGUAAAUAUGGGUGCAGUAUGUCUUCCAGUGCUUCUUGUCCAGCGAUGGCCAAGAAGCUUUUUUU
rfam:Thermoactinomyces vulgaris strain NRRL F-5595 F5595contig3.1, whole genome shotgun sequence.